GAAGCGUGUUAUUAGAACACAGAGCCUGCAAUUACUGCAGGUUCGAGCCCGGCCCAAGGUUGACUCAGCCUUCCACCCUUUAUAAGAUUGAAGGUGAUAAUCAAGACAUGGGGACUUUUUUCAUAGUUCAUCCGCUUUGCGUAAAAGACUUUUGCCUGUCCUUCGGCGGCAUUCUUCUGACAUCAGCUAUGAUGUCACUCUGGAUCCGGUUAUGCAAAAUUUGAGCCAAUGGGCACAACUUGGAAUAUUGAGAGCGCUUAUGGCUACGCUUUCCAAAUAUCACUUGACUUCUUGUCUACGGAUUCCCAACUGUAUUGCUGUGAAAAUAUUUGCAGAUCCCUCGCAUCCUGGACAUAAACUGUUUCAACUCCUACCCUCAAAACGACGCUAUAGAGCACUGCACACCAGAACAACUAGACACAAGAACAGUUUCUUCCUGAACGCCAUCACUCUGCUAAACAAAUAAUUCCCUCAACACUGUCAGACUAUUUACUGAAUCUGCACUACUAUUAAUCGUUUCAUAGUUCCCAUCACCAAUCUCUUUCCACUUAUGACUGUAUGACUAUAACUUGUUGCUGGCAAUCCUUAUGAUUUAUAUUGAUAUAUUGACCAUCAUUUGUGUUGUAAAUGUUGUACCUUGAUGAAGGUAUCUUUUCUUUUAUGUACACUGAGAGCAUAUGCACCAAGACAAAUUCCUUGUG